GUGAAUCAUCAAAUUUUUGAACGCAAAUUGCACUCUCUUCGGAGAGUAUGCCUGUUUGAGGGUAAGCCUAAAAACAAUCCACAUAGUAGAUGUUUCGCGGUGACAUUCGUCGGACAUUGGGUCAUCUUAAACCUUUUGGUUUUAAGCGGCUUACAAUUUUCUUUACUAUUCCACGAACGUUUCUAAGAUUUGCUUGUUACACGUUUA
rnacentral:misc_RNA from 1 species